rnacentral:rRNA from 1 species
UACGUAGGGUGCGAGCGUUGUCCGGAAUUACUGGGCGUAAAGAGCUCGUAGGUGGUUUGUCGCGUUGUUCGUGAAAACUCACAACUCAAUUGUGGGCGUGCGGGCGAUACGGGCAGACUGGAGUACUGCAGGGGAGACUGGAAUUCCUGGUGUAGCGGUGGAAUGCGCAGAUAUCAGGAGGAACACCGGUGGCGAAGGCGGGUCUCUGGGCAGUGAACUGACGCUGAGGCGCGAAAGCGUGGGGAGCGAACAGG